GAUGGCUCAGUGGUAGAGCACUUGCCUUGCAUGCAUGAGGCACUGGGUUCGAUUCCUCAGCAUCA
rnacentral:tRNA from 1 species